rnacentral:rRNA from 1 species
AUGUAAUCUCUCUAGCCUGAUAAAAAAUAUAACCCUAAUACCUUUACCUAUAAAUCUAAAUAAUAAAACAUUCUACAUUUUUAGUAUAUGCGAUAAAAAAAUUAAUCAGAGUAAUAACGAAAGUACCGCAAGGGAAAGAUGAAAUAAAAAUGAAAUAACUUAAUACACUAAAAAGCAGAGAUAAAACCUCGUACCUUUUGCAUCAUGGCCUAACAAGUCUAACCAGGCAAAAUGAAUUUUAGUCUGACUUCCCGAAACUAAGUGAGCUACUCCAGGGCUACUUCAUGUUUAACCCGUCUCUGUGGCAAAAGAGGGGGGAGACCCUCGAGUAGAGGCAAAAAACCUAUCGAACUUAGUAAUAGCUGGUUGCUUAGGAAAAGGAUAUAAGUUCUAUCUUAAAAAUAUAAAGCACAAUAAGCCCAUCAAAUUUUUAAGAAUUAUUCAAUAAGGGUACAGCCUUAUUGAAAAAGGAAACAACCUAAAACUGCGGAUAAUGAUUAAUAUUCUUAAGGAAUUAAAGGUUAAGUUGGCCUAAAAGCAGCCAUCUUUUAAAUAGCGUCAAAGCUUCACCUUUUUUAACCUCAAAUUAUACUAUUUUUUUCAAAAUCCUAAAUUACUACUAAGCCAUUCUAUACUCUUAUAGAAAAGUUAAUGUUAGGACUAGUAACACAGAAUUAAUUCUCUUACAUGUAAGUCUAAAUCAACACGAAUAACUCUUUGAUAAUUACCCAGCCAUGAAAAGAAAGUAGCACCCCUAAAACUACAAAAAUCCUACUUACGUAACUGUUAACCAAACACAUGAACAUGAAAGAAAGAUAAAAAAAUUAGGAAGGAACUCGGCAAACAUAAGUCUCGCCUGUUUACCAAAAACAUCGCCUCUUGAACCUUAUAAGAGGUAACGCCUGCCCAGUGAUUUAAUAUUUAACGGCCGCGGUAUUCUGACCGUGCAAAGGUAGCGUAAUCAUUUGUCUUUUAAAUAAAGACUAGUAUGAAUGGCAUCACGAGGACUUAACUGUCUCCCUAAUUUAAUCAGUGAAACUGAUCUUCCUGUGAAAAAGCAGGAAUAACUUAAUAAGACGAGAAGACCCUAUGGAGCUUAAAAUCUACAUCUACCUAUAUUUUCUGUUAAUAAAAUACCACUAAUUUAUAGACUAGAUAAAGUUUUUGGUUGGGGCGACAAUGGAGAACAACUUAUCCUCCAUGAAGAAAAACUUUGAGUUACCACUCUUAGUAGUAGCAAGCCUAACUUAAAUUGAUCCAAAUUUUUUUGAUCAACGGAACAAGUUACCCUAGGGAUAACAGCGCAAUCCAUUUCAAGAGUUCAUAUCGACAAGUGGGUUUACGACCUCGAUGUUGGAUUAGGACAUCCUAGUGGUGCAGCCGCUACUAAG